GAUGAACGCUGGCGGCGUGCCUAAUACAUGCAAGUCGAACGCUGGAAAUCUAGCUUGCUAGAUUGAAGGAGUGGCGAACGGGUGAGUAAUACAUAAGCAACCUACCCACGAAGACUGGGAUAAUCUCUGGAAACGGGGACUAAUACCGGAUAGGUAAUCGGAAGGCCUCUUCUGAUUAUUAAAGGUUAAAAACACUGGUGGAUGGGCUUAUGGCGCAUUAGUUAGUUGGUGAGGUAACGGCCCACCAAGACGAUGAUGCGUAGCCGGCCUGAGAGGGUGAACGGCCACAUUGGGACUGAGACACGGCCCAGACUCCUACGGGAGGCAGCAGUAGGGAAUGUUCGGCAAUGGGGGAAACCCUGACCGAGCAACGCCGCGUGAGUGAUGACGGCCUUCGGGUUGUAAAGCUCUGUUGUAAGGGAAGAACGGUAGAUAGAGAAUAUCUAAAUGACGGUACCUUACCAGAAAGCCACGGCUAACUACGUG
rnacentral:rRNA from 1 species